rnacentral:sRNA from 1 species
AUGUACAACUCGUACAUGCCAGCUCCUUCGCCCCGUCCGCACCCACCUGACGACUAAUCGCUACGUUUUGUCAGCC